GAGAAGGGAGGAGGCUGGAGAGAGAAGAGCUGAGGAGAGGGAGCAGAGACGCAGGGGAGACCGGAGUGCAGAGCUGCCGGAGAUAGCCGCUUAUCGUGGAGAGCGGGCACAGGCGCAGAGACGCUGCGAGCCACAGCGAGAGGCUCUGGACGGGAGCCGCUCCGGAGCAGGGAGAACGGCGGCUAGAGGUGCCUGACAGCAGCGCUGUGGCGGUACUAGUGGGUGAUGGACCCAGGUGCAAGAAUAUGCUUUGGCUUCUCCACCCCAAAGCACCCUCUCCUCCCACAGAAGAAAAACAAAAUGCGGGUAGUACCUUGUAGUCAAUCAGCAGAAACUGCAAGCUGAUGUCUCUGGUGCGUCUGGCGUAGAAAGCUGAAUGACAGAUGGUCUUGUUCCGGUGCACUGGUGAGGAUAGCUGCCAGAUUAUAGAAUCAGUUUAGUAAUACAGGGGGAUGUAUGUCCUGCAGUGUGGGGGUGAAUUUACUAUAGAACACUCCAAUUAUUCACCUGAAAUUAAAGCACAGAUGAGGGACUUUAAGAA